rnacentral:rRNA from 1 species
GUGAACGCUGGCGGCGUGCCUAAUACAUGCAAGUCGAACUGAAUUUAAAAGAGCUUGCUCUUUUAAAUUUAGUGGCGCACGGGUGAGUAAUAUAUAGCUAAUCUGCCCCUUGCUGGAGGACAACAGUUAGAAAUGACUGCUAAUACUCCAUACUCCUUUUUACCAUAAGAUAAAUCGGGAAAGAAUUUCGGCAAGGGAUGAGACUAUAUCGUAUCAGCUAGUCGGUGGGGUAACGGCCUACCGAGGCUAUGACGCGUAACUGGUCUGAGAGGAUGAUCAGUCACAUUGGAACUGAGACACGGUCCAAACUCCUACGGGAGGCAGCAGUAGGGAAUAUUGCGCAAUGGGGGAAACCCUGACGCAGCAACGCCGCGUGGAGGAUGACACUUUUCGGAGCGUAAACUCCUUUUGUUAGGGAAGAGUAA